CUAUUAGGGGCCUACAGUGCAUCAGGCAUGGAUCCAUGUUAGAAAAUUGUCCCAAGGAUAACCAGGACCUGCUGGAGCACAGGUUGCAUGUAGAGAUGAACCCCCAGUGGAUUCCUGUGAUGUCCUUUGCAGCAGUGUCAACAGUGAAGUCCCAGAUGACACGACUGGCAAGGAUCUGAGGUUACUACGGUAUCCGGUGGUUAGUGGUCAUUUUGGAGGUUAUGUACAGACUACUAAUAACUUGCUCUCACUAUUGGAGCUGGAGAAGAACUUAAGAAAAAAAUAAAUGCAAAUUAUACCAUAUACUCUUAAAGAACUUCACAAACAGAUGGUUUAUCUUCCCAACACCCAGAAAAAGUAGGCCACAGUAA
rnacentral:lncRNA from 10 species